rnacentral:rRNA from 1 species
GACGAACGCUGGCGGCGUGCCUAACACAUGCAAGUCGAACGGAAAGGCCCUGCUUUUUUGGGGUGCCCGAGUGGCGAACGGGUGUGUAACACGUGAGUAACCUGCCCUUGACUUUGUGAUAACUUCAGGAAACUGGGGCUAAUACCGGAUAGGAGCUCCUGCUGCUGGGUGGGGGUUGGAAAGCUUCGGCGGUUGGGGAUAGACUCGCGGCUUAUCAGCUUGUGGGUGGGGUAGUGGCUUACCAAGGCAUUGACGGAUAGCCGGCCUGAGAGGGUAAACGGCCACCAUGGGACUGAGAUACGGCCCAGACUGCAACAGGAGGCAGCAGUGGGAAAUAUUGCACAGUGGGCGGAAGCCUGAUGCAGCGACGCCGCGAGCGGGAUGACGGCUUUCGGGUUGUAAACCGCUUUAGGCUGUGACGAAGCGUGAGUGACGGUAAUGGGUAAAGAAGCACCGGCUAACUACGUG